GCUAGCUUCAGCAAUUCAUAUACUAAAAUUGGAAUGAUAUGGAGAAGAUUAGGAUAGAGCCCUUGCUCAAAGAUGAUACAUGGAUUUAUGUAGGCUUCCAUAUUAAA
ensembl:snRNA U6 U6 spliceosomal RNA